rnacentral:rRNA from 1 species
UACGUAGGGUCCGAGCGUUGUCCGGAGUUACUGGGCGUAAAGCGCACGUAGGCGGCUUUCUAAGUCGGGGGUGAAAUCCUGGAGCUCAACUCCAGAACUGCCUUCGAUACUGAGGAUCUCGAGUCCGGGAGAGGUGAGUGGAAACUCCGAGUGUAGAGGUGAAAUUCGUAGAUAUUCGGAAGAACACCAGUGGCGAAGGCGGCUCACUGGCCCGGUACUGACGCUGAGGUGCGAAAGCGUGGGGAGCAAACAGGG